rnacentral:rRNA from 1 species
GACGAACGCUGGCGGCGUGCUUAACACAUGCAAGUCGAACGACGAAGCAGAGAAACGCGGACUUCGGUUCUAAUUUCACUUCGGAUUAGUGGCAGACGGGCGAGUAACGCGUUUGCAACCUACCUCUUACAAAGGGAUAGCCUCUGGAAACCGUGAUUAAUACCAUAUGACACAUUCAUAAGGUAUCUUAAGAAUGUUAAAGGUACGGCGGUAAAGGAUGGGCUCGCGUCCCAUUAGCUAGCUGGUGAGGUCACGGCCCCCGAAGGCGUCGAUGGGUAACCGGGAAGAGAGGGAGGGCCGUCACAUUGAAGCUGAGACGCAGUCCGGAAUCCUACGGGAGGGGGCAAUGGGUGAUAUUGCAAAAUGGAGGGAGCUCUGAUGGAGCGACGCCGGGUGAGCGAUGAAGGAAUUCGUGAAAUGAAGCUCUUUUCUAUGGGAAGAAAAGGACGGUACCAUAGGAGAAAGCCCCGGCUAAAUACGUG